UUUUUUUUUUUUUUUUGUUAAUAUGAGAUAGAAUUUUUUGCCAAAGGUUAGCCUCAAUCAAAUUUGAUGUAGAUACUUCAUUUAGCAUUUCAAUCGUUUUGAUUAUGAAAAUAUCAUUUACAUUUUCUCCAACCAAAACCACCUUAGAAUCCCUUAGGACUUCAAAAACUCCACCUUUUCUCUUGUAUUCACACCUCAAAGAGUCUAGCAUUCCUAGGAAAAAUCAGAUUUCAACUCCUGUCGAUUGAUUUCUUUACAAGUGUUGAACCAUGUUUUAAAAGGUGUCGUGUGGUAUGUGCAGCAAGAGUCAAGAACUCAAUCAUGUUUACUAGAGGGGGUAACAUGAUUGGCUUGGUAUGGGGUUGAUGCCAAAGCAUAUGUAAAGAUAAAGGAACCUUCUACUACAAAUGCUUCAGGUUUCUUUUUAUCUUUAAUCCUUAAAGAUUUGCCUUCUUGAAAUGAAGAUUCGCUCUGAUACCACACUUUGUCGGGCUACCAUGCGUGAAUUCCUUGAUUUAGGCCUAAAAAUAUAAGGCAGACUAAUGGAGACAUGGAGCCCAUGAUGGAGAUGGAUUUGAAAAAUCAGUAGGUAGAUGGAAAGAAGAUGGAGAACUAGCCAUGUUACCAACUUCUUGACCACACACGUAUUUAAUUUGAAUAUCAAAUGUUGUGGGUGUUCAAACAGAAGGUAAAGUUUCUGUUCCUUUCUCUCUACACAAUGAUUUCCUCUCUCACAAACUCUCUGUGAAGUUAAGCUUCAACAACGGCGGGAAUUUAAGACAUGCAAGAUGAAAGAAAAGAAAGAACAGUAGAAGCUAUAAACACAAUAUUUUAUGUGGUUCAGCCAAAUAAAAGUCUACAUCCACGAGGAAAGACAAAAUUUAUUGAAGAAGAAAGAUGAGUACAUACACUUUUGUCUCUAAAACUCAAAAGAAAAAAAAAUCUAAGACCAUGCCUUUAUAUAGUCGGUGAUUUUUCAAGAAAAGUGUUGCUAAAACUGAAAGAAUAGAUAGUCGUUGGGUUCAAAAUUUUGUUACAUUUUGUAAUUUGUAAGAGUGAUUUCGCUGUUGAGUGUUAAGAAGUUGGAUAUUUAUAGUCAUUAUUGUCGAACCCUAAAGAUUGAUAUGAUUUAAUUUGUCGUACAAUUUGUGGAACACAUUAAUUAAAUAAUACCUUUUGUGACUUGUGAGAA